rfam:Glycine soja cultivar W05 scaffold3163_29, whole genome shotgun sequence.
AUCUUUGAUCUGGGUGAGAGAAACGCGUAUCGAUGGAUUGGGUUCAGUUCUGGUCUCACACGGUUUGUUCUAACAAUUUGUACUGACUGUGUUUUGAUCGAUACGGGUCGCUCUCACCUAGGCCAGAGUUGC